CCCGCGGGCUGCCGUGGCCGCUGAAGGCGGGGAGGGGAGAAGCGGCUGAAGCGCGGAAGUUGCAGGCGGCUCGCUGCGCAGACGUGCCGCUCAGCCUGCGAGUGAAGCCGGCACCGCGCCGGGGCUCGGCUCUCGCUCCCGCGGGGGCAGCGCUAUCCGGCGCCUGCUGACAACGCCCCGGGGGGACCCCACCGCCGCUUCCCACGGGGAAAGAUGAGACCGCCGCCUCUUGGUCCCCCUCACCGCUGGGACAGCUCCUGCUUUUCCCGCAGGAAAAGACGGCAUCAGCCGGCACACCCUCGGAGGGCAGGAGAGGACCGCUCUCCUCCAGUAGCGCAGCGGGCACCACCGGUCGGAGCCACCCCCGGCGCGCAGAGAGCCCGCGCUGCCAACCACAAGGACCAGAAUGAAGAGCAGGGAGAAGGCUGAGCCAGAGAUGACAGAAGGAGAGCAAAUAUAUUGGCACAGGGGCUUUGCAGUGGGUGCAUUAUCCUCCUGUGACAGCAGAUUGCCCUCUCAAGGUAUUUGUUCAAAGACAUUACUGAAGAUAAUUCUUGCUGAAACAUGAAGUUUUAGAUAGUGUUGGUUAAAUGUGAUUUUUAUCUGUGUGCAAUGAAAUAAGUUAUGAUUAGGUCAUUUAGAUUUUUUUUUUUUAAUGAAAACAUCCUUGGGAUCUUACAUAUGCAAUCUAUAGGACAUGUUAUUUAUCUGUAAAUAAAUUGAAGAUAGAAAAAACUAUGUGGAAGCCAUGGGGGACAGAGGUACUUUUCUUGUACAGGUGCUUGGGUGACUGCUACAGUUAAUGUAGUAGGCAUUAUAAUUACUUGUUCUUAUGACCUUUUCAUCAUGAAGCCCUAAGUUCUGAUCAGAAGACGGACAGUACCAUGAUCCUUGUGGAACAUUCAUGGGAAAAGAUGGGCAGAAAUGUGUGACUCUGUGAUUCAGAGUGUUGAGGCUGUUCGUGGCUAUAGGAAUUGGGUCUUGAUUUUUCAGAAGGAUAUCAUGUUCCCCAUGCAGAGCAGCUGCUGUUACUGAUGACUCCUACUGUUUGAACACAUGGAACACAGCAGCAGUGGCUACACAUGAUUAUAUGUGUAUGUAUAUAAGGGAAAGAGUAGGUUGGAAAUAAGUUUGGAAAUUCCUUUGCCUUCUGGACAAGGAUACAUUAGCUUCAGAAAUAAUCCACUCUUUAACAAGUUGGAAAAAUGAUUCAGUUACAGCUGGUGGGAGGCUGAAGAGUAGUGAGAAUCAGUUGCAGAGACAUAUUGUAUGCCUGCUAACUCACAUUCCUGUUUUCGGUCUUUUUUAUUCCUAACUCUACAACUAUUUUAUUUUAGUAUAGUAGGUUUGGGGAAAAAAAAAAUCAUUGAACAUAAUACUUUGCUUGCUAAGCUAAUCUUUGAAUAAUUUCUGUCCAGAGAUAAUUUAUUUUUGUUAUUCAAAUUUACUCCAAUGGCUUGUUUGAGGGGGUCUUAACACUCUUCUGCAGCAUAUGUGAGCUGAUCUUAAUAAACGGGCUAUUGUAGAGUUUAUAUCUCAACAUGAAAUUGAGUUUUUACUUGUAAUUUAUUUAUAUUAAAACUUUCCUGGAUUGUCAAAAAACACCAGUAUUUUUGCAUGAAUUCCUGCUGACCUGAGAAAUUGUUUAUGCCCUUGCUUAAGUCCAUCCUGUUUGUCUUAAAAGUGAAAGAAGUCUUGGCUGAUUCAGGGCAGUAGCUUUUUUGAAGAGUGUGUAGUACAUUUUCAUUGCCUUUUAGCCUAGAUGCAGCUACCACAGGAUGCAAAUGCUCUCCAUGAAAUUCCCUAGGUACAUGGUGAGUUAACCUGCUCUGAGUUCCUGUUGUGUUUCUCUCAGUACUCCAGCUAGUAGCAGCCAUUGCUGUUGCAGACAUGCACAGCAGACCAGAAUUCGUUUCCUUUAGCCAUGUUCCUCUUGGUGGCAAGAUGCUGUUUCUAGCAGUCCAAGUGGCAUUCACUUCCUUUCAAGAGAGGUCCUUUUGGCAGCACUCUCACCAGGUCACAAGCAAGUUUCAAUGGAAUUUCUUGUUGCACAGGUUGUUCAAUGUGCCUCCCAUACUCCCCAGACAAUGGCUGUAUUUUGCUGGUUUUUAACCAAGUAAGUUUCCUGUUAAACAAGAUUAUGGCUUAAUUAAGAUGCAAAGAAUUUGAUCCAGUAUUCACUUUGUUAAUGUAUUCUUUGUUUCAUUUUCCUCCCAAUUUUCCUAUGCUAUCAACCUCUAUUUGGAAAAAAAUAGUUUGAGAGUGUAAACAAAGCAAAGGAUUUAGAUGAGUUUGUGCCCUAGUAACCAACUAAAACCUCCUAUUUUCAUUGAGAUUAAAACUGUGUUUGAACUCUCCACUAAUGGUAAAUCCAUGGUUAUCAAACUGUUCCACAAUACCGUGGGAGUGAAUAAGGCAACUAUUUUUUGGAGACAUUGCUUGUGAUUGCUGGAAAAGAGAGGCAUAUUAGUAAAACAUUCAGAAGAUUUAUAGCUUGUUUGCUGCUGCAUAGGAGAGAGAGUAAGUGCAGAUUACUGAGGGUUCUCAGUUAUGAGGGCUAUGAAUUAAAGUUGUUAUCCAUAAUUUAUUAUUCUCCAUGUGCUUCCAGUCUACAUUUAGUUAGAGAGAAAACAUACACAGGCAGAGUAGGGAGGAGUGACCUUGAAAGAGUAAGACUUGCUUCAUAUAAUUACCAUCUUCCUAGUGUCCCUGAAAACAAAUACAGAAUCUUACAGUUAUUUAAAUACUUGAUUUCUAUCUUGCUUUAAGAAUUGGAGAUACAUUCAUCAAAACAGAAAAACUGCAGCAGCCCUCUUGCACAACUUCUGUGCCUUAACCAUGGGCUUCUGUGGAAACUUUGGAAGACUAGAAAAAGCAACAAUGAGCCCUGGAAAAACUACCAGCAUAGUAGAAUCAACUUCUUCUAUUCUUGCAAGUAUUUAUAUACAUUUUUCAUAACUGGUGCUCCUUGGAUCUAGUGCACAGGUCAGACCCAGUACACUUCAAUGUGUUUUUCUGAAGUUGGAUAAGAAGAAAAACCAGGAGUUUGAUAGAUGUACUUUUGUUUGUUACAUCCUAGGACAUUUUUCACACUGAUGUAGAUGUAUGUAUUUAGAGAGAGAAAGUUGUACAACAUUGCUUAAAAGAGGAAAAAGAAAAUGCCUAUAAUUUCUUUUAAACUCAGUUAAGGUAAACUUUAUUAUUAAAAUACAUUGUUUAAUGGUCUACCCUUUAGGCUGUAUAAAAGAAGCAUAUCCGCUUCUCUUCAGUAUUUCAUUAUUUUCGUUCCCCAAAAUUUUAAAUAUUUAAUAAUUUAAAGGAAUUGUUUCCUGUGCAUCUUCUUUUUUUCAGUGUCUUCAAAUUAGCUUCUCAACUCCUGCCCGUGUAAUGCAUGGCGCAAAUUCUGCAAAAAAUGAGUAACUUCAUCCACAUAUAGAUGUGUAAGGUGGCUGACUUUGUAGGUAAUCAUGAUGUAAUUAGGUAACUGAAUUGUUAUGUUAGAGUCUGCCUAGGCAGAUUGAACUUCACCAUUUUUUAAAUUGUCAUUAAUGUUCAUAAAAUGUGGAUAUAACAUUUUAUUACUUGGAAAUAAUUUACAUUUAUUUCCUAGUUAUUAAUUUUUAAAUUUAUAGCACAAAAGUAACAGGAAGAGAUCUGUCUGAACAUUCUAGAUUCUUCUGACACAUAUCUGAGAAUGGAAUAAAUUCCUACCAAAAGCAACAUCCUUGUCAAAUGCAAGAAAAUCAUUGGGUAGAUCAAAAAAUAAACCAAAAUGCUUUUUUUUAAUUUGAAGAAGAUUCCCAAUGCUGCUAUAGCAACAGUUCCAAUAAUUUGAACCUUGUGAUGCACGAAAGAAAGGGGUGGAUUUCAGCAGUAUUGAGGAACUCAUUGAAAAGUGAACCUUAGAGCCAUUGCUAAUGUAUUGCCAAAGGACAGAGUUCAUCUCCUGAACUCCAGACAAACAGAAGAACUCAGAUUCAGUUCUCAUGGAUGGAUUAAGACUCCUCCAGAGCAAUUUACCUUGUAUAUUUUUUUAACACAGUGCAGUCACAGAAGUGUUGACAUUGCUCCUUGAUUUAGUUGAGAUUUAGAAAUGAAGUUUCUCACCACCACAGUAGUGAGAUUUGUUUGGCAACUUGUUAACACAUUAAAAAAGAAAAUAACUGGGUUUAUCAUAAAAAUGUACUCCUGAGCUUCACAUACAUACCCUUUGCCCCUGUAUUUGUUGCCUUCCUUUUUUUUUCUUGCACUCCCUUUCUUUAGCUAAUAGUCUGAAAACAUUUAUGCAUGUGCUCCUUGUAGGUUUGAAAGUAUUCCAGAUGUGGCUGCUCAAAUGCUUAAGUUCCUGUGUUUGCUGAACCUUUAAGGACUCCAGUUGUGGUGACAGUAGUGUUUUCUUACAGUGUUUUAAGGCCGAAUAUCUGAAGCUAUCUAGAUAUUUGGCUUCCCCCAAAUCUAAUAGAAAUCAGUUUCCUUAAAUACCUUUGAAAAUCUGCACUCUCAAUCAUUUGGGGCAGGAACAUUCUUUUCCCUUUUUAAAAACAGAACAGUAUGCCAACUUUUGGUUGUGUUUUAGCAGCAAUAAUAAUACUAAAUGCAAUCACUGCUGCUUUUUUCAUAUGUGUAUGUAUCUUUUUGCUUUUACAUUAUUACUGGAGGACUUGUUCCAUCUGGAGAAGAGAGGGUCUGGGAAAACAUAAUAGCAGCUUUAUAUGGAGAGGUGAGGAGGUGAUCAAGAAGCUGGAGACAGGUUCCAAAUGGUGGAGCAUGGUGGGAGGGCAAGAGGUAGUGGACAGGAGUUCAAGAGAGGUUCAAACUGGAUACAAGAAAAAAACUUUUUCCCCAAGAGGACAGUAAGGCAGUGGAACAGGUUGCUCAACAAGGCUGUUCUGUCUCUGUCUUUGAAGGAUUUCAAGACCUGGUUGGACUAAUUUGUGAGCAACCUGAUCUGCCCUCAAUAGAGAUCCUGUGUUUGACUUCCUGAGGUCACUUAAAACUGAGCAUUGUUAUAAUCCUAUGAGCAUACUAUUUUAAUUAGAGUGGUUUUAAAAUAACACUACUGGAACAGAUAAAAAUGGCUACUGCACUCAGAUUGUGAAUGAAUUAGUCUAAUCAAGCAGUUCUGUGUGAACUGCAGGGUCAAACUCUUCCUUGAUACUGUAAGUAUGUUUCUCUAUAGCUUCUGAAUCAUUGUAGUGAUGCCACAUCUAACGACAUGCAGGUGCUUGGAUAUAUUUACUGGAAAGACAGGUUGAUUUUGUUUUUGAUGUCUAGCUGUUGAGAUAAAGAGGUUGGCAAUACCUUCAUAGACCGUAAGAGAGGCAAGCUCAGUAUUGCUAGGAUUUUAACUGUUAAUAAAUUCUUCAGUUUCUGACAACCAGCAAAUUUUUUUUGAAAAGCAGAACUUAGUCAAUGUCAUUUUCAAAUGAGACUUCUAACACCUAAGAUGUAUUGUACUAUAACAUUUUUUUCUACAUAAGAUUUUCUUUAAAUCAUCUCUCGUGGUUAAAGACAGAUGUACCUUUAUUCCAUACUCUAAAGCAGUGUGUUUUUAUAUUAUACCAUGAAAAAAAUCUGCUUCCAUCUUUCAAUUCAGAAAGCCCCAUCAAGAUGUGCUUGUUUUUGCCUCAGAUAAAAAUAAAGAAAGAGAGGGAGAGGGAGAGAAGCUACAGUUUUUAAGUUCCUUUUUUAGAGAUUCUGAUUUCAACAGCUGUGGAGAGUAAUUACUAUAAAGACUGUAGUCCCAAUUGUUUUGAGUUGAUGUUGUAGCCCUACCGUAGCAGACACUCCGCAGAUGCAGACUGAAGCACACAACUUGAAACAUAUGGCAAGAUAAAAUCUGAAAGCUAUACUAGCUAGCUACCAUAAAGAUUUUGUGAGGGAAAAGAACUUUAAAUCAACAUAGACUUUUAAGGGAGGACAGCAAAAACAUUUUAGGACAGAAAUGAGGAUACCUCUCUAACACUUCUGCAUCUGUAGCUGAAAUCUCUGGAAGAAGAAGUAACUAUAUUUUAUUCUAAUUGAGAGAAGUUAACAGUUUUUUUGAGACUUCAAUAUAACACUUAUAAUCUCAAAGUUCAAUUAUUGCACAUUCUAUUAUUCCAAAGUCUUUGGUACUGUAUCAGUAUUCCAAAGAAGGCAGAAUAAAAUUCCAGAUAUUACCAAUAAGAAAACAGAUUUUAACUCAAAUAAGUAUUAUUAGCGAGUAAGUCACUGAGACAAUUUCUGUCAUUUGGAAAUCAUUUAGCUGAUUUCCACUGGAGGCAUGAUAGAAAUAAUGUAGCACCUGCCUUUUCCCCUGAUAGGCAAGUUUAGUUUUAAUUUCUCUGGUAGAAUGCAUUACUGAAGUGCAAUUGCCAUUCAUUUAAUUUUAAGCAUUCCAGGGUAGAAACAAUUAUAUGCAUCUUAGAAGGCUCAUAGAAGGCUUAUAAAUGUGAAUAUCUACAUCUAUAUUUAUACAAAUAAAGAAUAUAUAUAUUGGCAUUGAUGCUUACGAUGCCUAAAAUCUGAGAUUAUUCCUUUCACCUGUAGAUAUAUACCUCCACCACACAUGGACAUUAAAUACAUGAACAGAAAGUAAGAGUUUGUUAUCUGUGCUGGUCUUCCUACUGUCUUGGUUUUCCAUUGUCAGCUGCUUCAUACUCUGCCCUGCUAGCCAUCAUUAUCACCCUGAUUUUCCAUCUUUCACCCUUCUACCACUCGUCUUAUGUAAAAAACUUUCCUGAGGUGCCUAGUCAUGUUGAAGCAGGUCUGACAAGCAGCAGCAGGCAUCCCAGAAACACCUUAACAUGUGGAUGACACUUAACUGUAAACUAUACAUUUCUGUUUUCUUCCAUAUAUUUUGAUAUAUGUAUUUCUUGUUUUUAUAAAACAUUUACAUGUAUAACAUCCUGGGAAAACAGAUCCUCCUGAAUACAGUACAAUAUUUUUUUUCUGUUUCAAUACUGUUUGUGUAUCACACUGAUGCUUCUAGAACUGUCUGGGUGUCUAGUGUGUGGUUUGCAGCAACAUCUUCCUUUUGCAUCUAAGCCUUUAAUAUCUUAUACUUCUGGUUAAUGUUAAUGGCACAUGAGUGGGAAAGGUCUCGUAAUGCAAUGUAGUGUUCCUAUCUGUGUAUAUUAAGUGCCUGAAUGCAUCUUGUCUUUACUAGAACAGUUUUUUUCUUGUGAGAAAAAAAAAAAAAAUUGCUAUUCAUUGACCUGUUAUCCAUUGCACUUUUCAGAAACUUGCCCUUAAGAGAUAGCAGGGUAUGGGGCUGUGUACAUCUGAAACACACGUUCACAUCUUCAGAGAUAAGAAAUGGCAUGCAUCAUGACCAGCAGAUAUUUCAUAUUGGCAAAGAAUGAUUUUAAGUCAGAUUGGAAGCUGCUAGAUGCGAUGAAUGACAACGACGACUCCAGAUAUCCCCGGGAAAAAAAAAAGAAAAAAGGAAAUGCAUACACAUCAUGUCAGAAACUCUUACAGCAUUCUGAGUAUGCCUGUAAAUUCAUGUGGAAUGCAUCUCACACCUGGUGUUUGGUUGAAAGAUGUACCACCGGAUAACUGUGGCAGAACAGAAUAGUGUGUGGAAAGUCUUUACUUAAAAUGCCAUGGUCCAUUACUGUUUCCUCGGUAGACCCUAGAAGCAUUACAUAGUCUUUGACUUAGGUGAAAUACCUGGCUUUUUAGGAAUCUAUAGUCAAGGAUUUGAAUGAAUCCCUCGGACAUUCUACUAAAACUUUUUUUUAACCUGAGCAGGAAAAAAACAAUGUUUCCAAAAACUCCGUGAUGAAGUACAGUGAAAUGGUCUUUGCAAAUAUAUGUAGGAAAAGAGGUGAAGACUCUGCUCUGUGCUUGACUGAGUCCAGAGAUGCCAGUUGGUUAAAUAAAUGUAUAUGCAUUGUCAUUAUUAUUAUUAUUAUUGUAACUAUUAGCACAUUAAUUAUAAUAAUUUUUAAGGUUCCUAGUAGAUAUAUUACUCUACUAUAUUUACCAAGACAUCCUGUUUGUUAAGAAUUUAACUACUGUACAAUUUUAUGGGGGGAAUAAAUCUUGUAAAACAGAUGAAAAAGGAGCUGGGGAAAAGAAAAAUUAAUAUGGAUUUUUUUCUUCAUAGUUUGACCUAGAUUACAUCAUCCACGUAAUUUACAGAGUCUGCAGAUAUCCUGACUGAGAGCUCAGUUCAAACUGCUGCAGAAGGCUGGAGCAAGCCUUUCAUGAAAACACAGUCCUGUGUGUUGUGCUUGCUGUGGUUGGGAGUUUACUACAUGGUGUUCCAGGGCAGAAAGCUGAAUGCAGCACUUCCUAUUUUUCAUUGCUUGUAAUUUGCAUCUGCCUUUGAAUUUGAGAAGUGAGUCCAUGUGUUUCUGGAUUGUGCUUUUCUGUGCUCUCUUGCAAUUCUACUUUUGAUGUAGCUGCAGUAUGAAAGAAAGGGCUUUGGAGUAAGGAUUAGUGCCCUAUCCUGCACAAUUAAUGUCAUGCACAUAUCUGGACCUGGUUCUUGUUCUGUGGAAGUGGGCACGUAGAGUCCUGGUCACUCAGGCUUAGGGAAGUAAUGGUAACUGUGUUUGCAGGAUUGAAAGGAAUGUGCCACACUCAGUGAACUCCUGUUUGUUAACAUAUGCACACAGAAGGUGUACAAGAGCAGUGUUCCCUUUCCCCUUCCUGAAAGUCUUGCUUUCCUGGUAUCUUAGAGGGAAAAACAAAGGAUUUAAAAAUUAAUGUCUUUUUGGAGAAGUAAUUUUAAGCAACACACGGAUUUUACACGUAUUUUUAAGUGAGCAAGUUUUUUUUCAUUGACAUAAAUAUGUAAUAGCUGUGUUAUUUGUGUCCUUGUUUUCGCUCAUGGUGAGGACAAUAGGUCCUUGUAGCUCAGACCUCAUUUUCAGAAAGAAGUUCAGGCAUAGUCACACCCAAUCUAGUCAUGUAAUCAGCAUGCUCUGCAAUAUUGCUAGUUUAGGGGCGGUGAAGUUUAUAAAUCAGCAAAACAGUAGUAUAAAGCAAUGUAUUUUUAAAAGGAAAGCACUGUUUAGACAAAUAAUGAUUAGGUGAGAUGAAAAUGAUGUUACUCUUAACAAAACAAUUUACUGGAACAUUUUGAAGAUGGAAUUGCCAGCAGGCAAUUUAUUUUGCUUUAAAAUAAGCUUCAAAAUUGCCUUCUGCCUCCGUGAUGGCAGGAUGAGGGAGGCAUGUAUACAAAACCAGGAAUAUAUGCAGAUAAAUAUAUGUACAUGCACUUACACAUCAACACAUAUCCCCAUGCAUGCAUACAUUUGUGCAUAGAGAUAAUGCUUUCCUUUAUAACAUUUAUGUUCAGCUCUUUAAACCUGACACCUGUUGUAGUAACAACUCUGUCUUGGAAUCUCACGGCAAUUGCAUAUGGGAAGCAAGUCUCUUCUAACAAAAAUAAUAAAAAGUUCUAAAACAUUUUAUUAAGACAGGUUGAGUAUUACUGAGGUCAGAUUGACAGAGCCUUUUCCAAUCUCUAUUUCUACAUAUGGAGCAUUUCAUGUAUAUGGAAAAAGAAACAAACCCUUUUGGUUUGCAAGUUGUACUGUAGGGGCUAUUCCACACUGUAGUCAAUAAAUUUGGUAAAUUCAUUGUUGAGGUGAGAAGAGUAAAGAUGUAGAACGGACAGUAGAGGACAUGGAGCACAAAAUUGUGAAAAUUUCAGAGGAAAAUUGCUAAGAGUCAGGUUUUCCAGCUUAGAGCUUAGGCUCUUAUAUGUUCACCAUUGCAUGCUAUUCCCCUUCUUAUUUUAGAGACGUGCACUUCUUGCACAAUGUUAGUACUGAAAACUGAAAUCCUUUAAUAUCAAUUUAUCCAGUUUCCUAUGUUAUGUCCAUGGUCUUCACACAUGCUGAAUUUAGCACAGACCUGGGACUUGAAAGAAGUUUUGAAUAUUUUAGAAAGAAACUAUAACACAUAUGAAAGUGCACAUAUAUGCAAAAUCCCAUGAAAAGGUUCCCUGAGUGUACUGAGGAUGGGUGGGGAGGCUCCUGACAGAGGAAACAGGGCAAUGGGAUUGGUUGAGGAUGGCAGGGGCAUUUGGCAACUUUUUUCUCUAGCUGUUGUUGAAACCAUUAUUCCUGCUUUUCCUCCCAAAGCUGAGAUUUAGGUGCUCUCUGAGCAUCUCUCACUGAUUUUUGAGUUUGUGUGAGGGAUCGUGGGGUUUUGUUCAUGAUCAUCUGAUCUAACACUUCAAAGGGCUUAUCCCCACAUGUGGAUAUCUGAAAAUACUGUUUCAGAAGCACACAAGCUAGGUGGAAUCAGGCUGGCCAAAUGUACAUUAUAGGGAAGAAGAAACACUGUUGUCUUGCUUGCAUGUAUGCAUCAUCCCGAGCACAGAAUGUUGCUCCAGAAAGGCUACACUGCCUCAGGUAUUCAGGAGAGUCAUUGCAGUUUAAGUGAUGUUAUUCAAAUCCCCUAAAAUCUGCAUCUUUUUCUUAUUGCUUGAGAUACAGUAGUACAUUAGUGAGGUAAAGGCAGAGGUGGUGGUCCAAGUGCAGGGUUGUUUGAAUGAGACAUACCAAAGUAGUGGGACCAGUACAAAGAGGAAGAUGACAGCCUAUCUAGAAAAAUAUCUGUCUUGGCUUAUGAUCUACCAGAUAUAGAAGUACCCAAAAUAUUCCCACCAUGUUUCCUCCUCCAACACUCAGUUAUACAAGAUAAGCUACACCUUGUUAAGAAAAACUACAUUAAGAUGAGGUAAUAGAUCACCUUGCAGAAUAUCUCUGAUUAUCAUGCUGCCUUUAUGGCAUAUAAGCAACUUAUCAAAAAUACUUGAUUUCAGUGUCAAUCUUUACAUCUUCAAAGAACUGGAAAAACAUGAAAUCUCCUAACCCAACUGGGAGCAGGAAGGAUAUAUAUUAUUCUUAUAAUAUUUUGCUUUUAUGAGUGAAAACAUUAAAGCAAGUUGCAACCCUUCUAUAUUUGCAGAAUAAGGACUUCUGUGUCAUGAAUCCAGGUGGUCUAACCUGGUACUGCUAAUUGUCUCACCAAGGGCAAAAAGGGAAUCAAUGUCAGAACCAAAAUGGGAAUGCAGACAUUCCAGGUGACAGUUGCAGAAGUAUUGACGUGGUAUGUUUAUUUAGCACUUCCAAAAGUUUUAUGUAAGUCAAUUCAUAGAGAGAUAUGCAGAUAUCUUGGGGUGCAUAUCAACCUAUGCACCUUGCCUGUUCCUGUCUGAGCUCCUCACCUUUAUACCCUACUCCAUUUAAUACUAAGUGUUUGUAUUUGUGGUUCAAAUGCUGCCUACAGAGCCUGUAAGACCUGUCAGCACUGGCAGUUCUGUUGCUGUGCUGUGCCACUGCCAUAUUUCAUCCUUUGUCAGCAGCAGCUCUAAGGGUCAGUCCUCCCUAUUUCCAGCAGUUAGUGCCAUCAAAGAUUAGAAGAUUAGGUACAAAAUCAGGACACCAGGAAAGGAUCCCUCUGACACUAACUCCUCUGGAGUUUUCCUACAUGACACACGCACUCAUGCUGGUUGCUUGGAUUUACCUACACCUUCAGCAGCUUAAGCACUCUUCUGGGCUAGAAGAUUCCAGAGCCACACUGUGGGGAAGUGGCUGCUUAUGGCAUAAUUCCCCUGAAAUUAGGACAUAAAUUUUGGUUAGGAUGCCCAGGAUUCUCCCUGAUAAGUCUGCACAAAGCAUCUGUGCAAGCUGAGGGUUCUGCCUGCAGCAUUUUAGUGAUAGGAACAAAUGUACCUCACCAAGAAAUGACCCUUGGGACAACAGGAAUUUGUCAGAACCUCGUAACACAGCUGUUUCUGGUGUGGACAUCACAUUUAGCCUCAGAAAGUGAAGUUCUUUAUCAGUUCUUAGGCAGCCUACAGCAGCUUUAUGAACUUAAGGGAAAAAUCAGAGAGUUCUUCGAAGACAUGAGCAAUACUGAUACUGCACUCAAGGCAAUAAUUGAGCUCUGUACCAACUUUCUCUUUUAUAUUGUUUUGGAACAAUGAAACACCCUAUAUGCUAGACUUUGGAGAUAUUUCUUGAUUUAUUUUUCUCCUAUUGUUUUAUCAAUACUUUUAGCAUGGCUUUUUGUCAAAGUAUAGAAAAGACCCUCAUCUUUCAAUUCUUUCUGUAGGUCUCUGACUUAAAGUAGAAAUAAUGCUGGGCUGAGGGACAUUUUUUGGUAAAUCCUAUUGCUUUUAAAAUACCCAAGUUAUCUGUUGCCAGCACAGAACAGAUACUAAGAAGAGGUGGAGUGGAUUUGUAGCAAACCAGUAAAAGAAGUCUUUCUUAUAACAUCCAAUUAGAAGUCUUUGUUGUAACAUAAGAUUAUGUUUACAUUGUAAUUAAGCUUACAUAUCGUCCUGAUAAAAGGGGCUUAAUGUAAAUAUUUUUUCUCAGAGAGGGAACAGCUUCACUGCAUAGUAUACAAAGCACACAGAAAUCUGAGCUACUUUUAAACACUCUUGACUGGGUAGAUGCCUGUACUACUGCGGUUGGAUUGCUUCUAUACUGAUUCACAUAUCUCUACAGUAUAGAGAAUUAUUCUAUAAUGCCCCUGAGUUAUAGACUGCAUGCAUGGACACCCCAUACCAGAUGUACUACAUACAGAUGUACUGUAAUAGUUUUCCCAUCUGGUCACAAAGGUUAUUGUGCAGAUUUUGAUUUUUUCCCCAAAAUAAUGACCAAAAUUGUAGUGUGACUCAGGAAAUUAAUACCAGGCGAGUUUCAUCAAAAUACUUGGGAGUUUUUGCCAUCAGCGUCAGUAGAGCUGGAAUUCCAUCCACUGUGCUUUUUAGCAAAGAUACCCUUGGAUAAACUGCAUGGGCAUGUCCAGUGGGAAUGCUGAGCAAAUCAUGCUGCUAAGAAAUAAGAGAAUAAAUCUUCUUAGUCCCCUCAGAAGCACACAUCUCGCUCCGUUCUAGGAGGCUAGUGGAAAGAUCUUUGCCCCAAGUUACAAACAGAUCCUAAAAACCUGGGAAGCCCCCUGGGAAGUCUUACACUGGGCCAGCCACAGAGAUUGUCCUCAUUAUUAAAUUGCCUCCCUUGAAGUAAUUUUGAGGAUUAAUAGAAAAAGUUUAAUAUUUUUCAUAGAUAAAAUGAUGACAAGUAUCAAACCACUGUCAGUGUUGAAUGCUUUAUUCAACAUUGCAGCUACUGUAGGUACAUGUUUGAGUAUCAGCUUUCAUUCUAAAUAGAAGUUUGCAUUUUGUGUCGUUUUCAUGUUUUUCUUUGCAAAUAUCAUCUGAUGCCCUUUUUAAACGGUAAGGCCAAAGCAUGAAAUGUUUCUCUUGUAGUGAAGCCCUUGUAGGGCUCUUAAGGCUUACAGAGCCCUUUUAGGUGGCGUUUCAGCAGCUCUGCACAUUUUCUGGUGCUUAACUCACUUUUUGAAAUCUGAAGAGAUAACAAUGAAUAACAUAAAAGGAGAAAGAGAAACAGGCUGGAGAAAUUCUUCAAAGCACAACUCUAAACAAAAGAAAUAUGGGGCCCUUGUCCUGUCUGCUUCACAUUCCUGUUGUAACGAUUUCAGUUCCUUCUGGUUUCCUUAUCUCAGGAAAGAGAUAGCAUUGCUUGCUUACCACACACAAGGGCUGCGGGAAGUAAUUGAUUUAGACAUACAGGCUGCUUUUGAAAGCCUGGAACAUUAUUAAUAUGAACCACUGCCUGCC